GCCACAUUCGUACAUCAGAGCCGCACCACUAGGGAGAUUAAAGAGAAAAAGUUUGAUAUGAGUGAGUGAAAAGGGAGGGGCACGGUUGUUCUGCAGUGGCGCCAUGGAAGCAACACCAGGCGUGGAUCGGUUCUGCUGAAGGCCGGGAAGCCACUGGUGGUUGUGGUUUGUACAUCCGAGCGGCGGUGACGAAGUUUGACGGUGUACUAGCUCAUUGGUCUGCGUCAAAACGGUACCCGAGGUGGAUGGCAAGCACCAUGGAUGGAUUCUGUGGCUGCAAGGAGAUCGUUGAGGGUGUUUGAGCACCUCGCCGCCACCUCCGGCAACGCGGCUACGGUGCCGCCAAGGUUCUUGCUUUACGACGCCACGCCCUUUCCGAGGCCACCAUGCGUUCCAGAUUUGCGAUGUCGUCUCUCAUCAUGGUUCAUCUAGGAUCCCAUCUACUUCUGCAAAUCCUCCUUAAUUCAAAUGCAUUCAAUUGCUGAAGAAAGGGGACGUUUGUGAAUUGUGAUGGUGGUUCGAUAUGAAAUGACUAAUCACGGUGAAAAUGACAAGCCUUAAGAAAACAACAAUGAGAUAUGGGUGCCGGAAAUGCAAGCUUCACUCUGGCGGAGAUUACUCGGGAAGAGAAGUUAUCGUUGCUUGGUUAGUUGGUCGAAGAAGAAGACUCUAAGGAUACCGCCUCUGCAUCUUUGGGCAUGAAGGGUGGGUGAUGUUGAUUUUGUCUGAUUAGAGCACUUAAUAUAAGUUAUGACUUGAUAAGCUUCUCUUAACUAAUCACAUCAAUGAUGCAACUUCUAGAAUGAUUAUAUUCGUUAUGUUCUUUAGUCUACUGGUGUAAUUCAUUGUAUCCUCUGUAAGUGUAAAAACAACUUUCUUAUAAUAGCAUUCAAUUGUAAGUUUUGGAUGGUGACAACCCCAAUUGCUUAUGGGAGAACAAGCCAAAUUGGACCAAAAUCUU